CACCUGUAGACAUGAAAGGGGAGAGAGAGGGGGAAUGACAUGCGGCAAAGGGCCGCAGGUCGGAGUCGAACCCACGGCCCACUGCGUCGAGGAGUAAACCUCUAUGUAUGGGUGCCCACUCUACCAAGUGAGCUAUCCGGGUGCCUGAUGUGUUGUGGUUUUAU